rnacentral:rRNA from 1 species
AGUCGAACGUAGAUUUUUCUAAGUGGCGAACGGGUGAGUAAUACACUGUUAUAUGCCUCACAAUGGGGGAUACGUUGAUGAGAAUUAACAUAAUACCGCAUAAUAAUAAUCUAAGGAUUAAAGUGGGGAAAACCUCAUGUUGUGAUAUUAGAUGGUGUCUGAUUAGUUUGUUGGUUUUUAGUUUAAAAGACUACCAAGACUUUUAUCGGUAGCUAUUCUUUGCGGAUGUAUAGCCACACUGGGAUUGAGAUAAGGCCCAGACUCUUACGGGAGGCAGCAGUGGGGAAUAUUGGACAAUGGGCGCAAGCCUGAUCCAGCAAUGUCGCGUGUGUGAUGAAGGUUUAUAAAACUGUAAAACACUUUUUUUAAGGAAUAAAAAAUUUUAACUAAUAAUUAAAAUUAAUGAAUGUACUUAAAGAAUAAGUACCGGCUAAUCACGUGCCAGCAGCCGCGGUAAGACGUGAGGUGCUAGCGUUAAUCAGAAUAAUUGGGCGUAAAGUGUGUUCCGGCUGUUUAAAAAGAUUUAUAUUAAAUAUUUAGGUUUAACCUAAAAAAUGUAUAGAUUACUUUUAAACUUGAGUUUAAUAUAAGGAAAUAGAAUUUUGUGUGUAGCGGUGAAAUGUGCAGAGAUACAAAGGAAUACCGAAGGCGAAAGCAUUUUUCUUGGUUAAAACUGACGCUUAUACACGAAAGCGUGGGGAGCAAACAGGAUUAGAUACCCUGGUAGUCCACGCCCUAAACUAUGUCGAUUAGCUAUUAGAUUGUAUUUUAGUAGCGAAGCUAACGCGUUAAAUCGACCGCCUGGGGACUACGAUCGCAAGAUUAAAACUCAAAGGAAUUGACGGGGACCAGCACAAGCGGUGGAUGAUGUGGAUUAAUUCGAUGAUACACGAAAAACCUUACCUGCUCUUGACAUGGUUAGAAUUUUAUUGAAAAAUAAAAGUGCUUGAAAAAGAGCUAACACACAGGUGCUGCAUGGCUGUUGUCAGCUCGUGUCGUGAGAUGUUGGGUUAAGUCCCGCAACGAGCGCAACCCCCACUCUUAGUUGCUAAACUUUUAAGUACUUUAAGAGAACUGCCGACGAUAAGUCUUGGAGGAAGGAGGGGAAGACUUCAAGUCCUCAUGGCCCUUAUGAGCAGGGCUUCACACGUCAUACAAUGGUUGAUACAAUAAGUUGCAAAAUUGCGAAAUGGAGCCAAUCUAAAAAAUCAAUCUCAGUUCGGAUUGUACUCUGCAACUCGAGUGCAUGAAGUUGGAAUCGCUAGUAAUCGCAGAUCAGCAUGCUGCGGUGAAUACGUUAACUGGUCUUGUACACACCGCCCGUCACACCAUGGAAAUGAGUUUUAUUUGAAAUAAAGAUUUUUAACUUUUAAAAAGAAAAAUUUUUAUUAUAAUAAAAUUUG